GUGUAUGAGCGAGUGAAUGGCGAGUGUAUGUCCCUGUGUGUGUGUGUAUGUCUGUGUGUAUUAUGUGUUUAAAAAAACCUACACAGUGAUCUUAUUUGAUCCGGCCGGCGCGCGGCCUGGCCCCGGCCGGAGGUGAUAGGACUCUGCACGCGAGCCUUUGUGGUGAUGCGCGGCAUGCACGAGCUGUUCAGGCCCCGCAGCUCCCGCAGCGCGCGGGCUGCGGCCGGACGUGAUGAACCGAUCAGAUAUACUAGUCCGUCCGAGCCACCUGGGCUCGUGACGGACUGUGAGUAUAGAGGCGAUUCUGAUCCGA
ensembl:scaRNA small Cajal body-specific RNA 2